rnacentral:rRNA from 1 species
CCCUUAGAUGUCCUGGGCCGCACGCGCGUUACACUGAUGCAUUCAACGAGCUUAUAACCUUGGCCGAGAGGCCUGGGCAAUCUUGUUAACGUGCAUCGUGAUAGGGAUAGAUUAUUGAAAUUAUUAAUCUUGAACGAGGAAUUCCUAGUAAACGCAGAUCAUCAAUCUGCAUUGAUUACGUCCCUGCCCUUUGUGCACACCGCCCGUCGCACCUACCGAUUGGAUGGUCCGGUGAAGCCUCGGGAUUGUGGUUCUUGCCGCUUUAUUGUAGCGUGACCGCGAGAACUUGUCUAAACCUUAUCAUCUAGAGGAAGGUGAAGUCGUAACA